AUGUCUGAUGACCUGAACCCUCUUUGGUAUCGUGAUGAUCUGUUUAUAUUUGCCCUCUGGAAAGAUUUGCUUCGGAGCCAUGGAGAGACUGUGUCCGACCAUGAUUUGUGGGAAUUUCUUGAAUUUGCAUAUGCUCAUGUUUUUUUCGGUUUUUCUACUUCCGUGAAACCACAGGCUUGGAAAUCUCUGUAUUUCUUUGUCAGGGAAAGCUCCAUACGAGAUUUCCCACACUGUCGACACGGGGUGCUUUAUUGUAAGAUUUUUCUGAUCGUCCGCAGCUGGUACCCAGUGGAGACGUUUGAAGAGCUGUGGUGGGAGUCCCCAGCACCCCGCAUAAACCCUUUAGAUCCCCCGCCACGGCCGAUCAGGGAUGAGCUUGAUGAAGAAUUGUUGCUCCGCGAGCCCCCCCUUCUGACCUUUUGUCUGGCGUUCAAAGGUUCUUCUGCCUCCUUGCGAGGGAAACUUCCUCUCACAGAGCGUGGGCCCCCCGUUUUCCCCUCGGAGGAGAUGGAGCCGCUCCCAGCCCCAGCGGAGCCGGAGACAACGCCUCCCUUGCCGGUCUGCCCGCCCGCAGCCGUGCUGCUCCCUCCUCUGCCCCAGCCAGAGCUGAGAGAAACACCCGCUGAGGAGACGCCGCUGCCACCUCCUCCCACUCUGGACGUGCAGCCAGGGCCCGCGUCAGGGCCGGUCUCGGAGCUGGCGGCCCCACCAGAGCCGGUCUUGGAGCCGGUGGCCACACUUCCGGCAGCAACAGAGGCGCCUCCAGGCCCUCGCGCCGGCCCAGAGCCUGUUCCCAGUGCAAGCUGUGAUGCUGGAGCAGACCCCCAGCCACACGCCCCGCUGCUGGCGGAGCCCACUCCACCGCCUUUGGAAAGCAGCGCCCCUGCCCCGCCGCCUCCAGUCAGCUCGGCGUCCCCUCCCAGCCAACCUGGGGCUGGCGCUGCCUGGCAGCUGUUUGCGGCUGCCGCGAAAGUGAAAAUUGUGAAGGAUUGAAAAGGAUUUUUAAAGAUGUCAAGAUUAACAUCUCCAGUCGAUGGACACCUUCUCCUGAGACUCAGCUGUUUGGACUUUGAGCCUUGAGCAUUCUUUUCAUUGUUGUUUGGGUUUUUAUAUUUUACAUUUUGGUUUAGAGAUUUGAUAGAUGUUUUUGCAGGUAAAGGAUUUCUUUGAACAUUCCACAUCAGUGUUUGAUUUGGCUUCUGAUUGAUAAUUAGCAAGUUGAUAAGGGGACCUCUUGAGAUGUUUUGUUUUCUUUUUGCAAGGGUCCUGCAGAAGAAUUGCAAAUGCAGAUUUUUAUUUUUUUAUUUAUACGGAAAGGGCGAUAUGUGGCAAGCACAUUUGUCUCACUCUUAGGAUUUUUCCUAGAGGUGCACAGAGAGAAAUGGAAGAGAAAACAAUUUCUAUUUCUGCUCCUUGUUUUUCCUAUGUGGAAUGUGUUUGGAGAAUUGUUUACCUGGAGUGCGUGCUUGAUUGGAUUCUGGUGAGGAUUGUUUGAGCCUGAUGGCCAAUCCAAUCCACCUGUGUCUGGACUCUCACAAGCAGGGUCAUGAGUUAGUUAGAUUAGAGUUAGAGUAGGAGAAAGUAGUAUGUAGUUUUUAGUAUCUUCCUUUUAUAUAGUAUAUUGAUGUAUUUUAUCAUAAUUAUAAUAAAGAAAUAAUUGAG
rnacentral:lncRNA from 1 species